GAGCUUGAAAAUCCAACACCGCAUGAAUUUCCAGAGUUACAGGAAGACACCCGAUGUGCACUUCUAGCCCCGGGGCAUGCAAAUAGUACAGCGUUGAGUUGGGUGGCAUAUGGUAGAGCCCAACUGACGACGGGUGCUACGGCGGGGCCACAUCAUUACUCGGUUGGGAUCUAUUCAGUGGUUGCGGGGUUCGAAGACAUCCCACUACCCGUACCGAUAGAGGAGGUUGAGAUAACAACGCUUUGGCAAGCUGUAGGUAGCUUCGUUGAUUGGCCACGUGCAUGGGUGAAGUUGAUUAAGGAGAUUUCGCAUGGAAGCAAAACUUCAAAGAGAAAGAGGGUGGAGAAGCCUAAAAGAAUUGAUCAACCUAAGAAGAAGCUAAGUGAACAACGG